GAGAGGGGUGAAGACACUUCGCUAGACUUCUAAUCUUGCGCAAGAGAGGUUCAAUUCCUUUCCCCUUUCU
rnacentral:tRNA from 1 species